rnacentral:rRNA from 1 species
UUAUUUGAGAGUUUGAUCCUGGCUCAGGAUGAACGCUGGCGGCGUGCCUAACACAUGCAAGUUGAGCGAUUUACUUCGGUAAAGAGCGGCGGACGGGUGAGUAACGCGUGGGUAACCUACCCUGUACACACGGAUAACAUACCGAAAGGUAUGCUAAUACGGGAUAAUAUAUUUGAGAGGCAUCUCUUGAAUAUCAAAGGUGAGCCAGUACAGGAUGGACCCGCGUCUGAUUAGCUAGUUGGUAAGGUAACGGCUUACCAAGGCGACGAUCAGUAGCCGACCUGAGAGGGUGAUCGGCCACAUUGGAACUGAGACACGGUCCAAACUCCUACGGGAGGCAGCAGUGGGGAAUAUUGCACAAUGGGCGAAAGCCUGAUGCAGCAACGCCGCGUGAGUGAUGAAGGCCUUCGGGUCGUAAAACUCUGUCCUCAAGGAAGAUAAUGACGGUACUUGAGGAGGAAGCCCCGGCUAA